CCUGGCUCCAACAUCCCAGGGAAUUGUGUCACUCCCAUUGAGCAGCUGUGGGGCCCUCUCCCACAUGGCCCAGGUCCACCACUCUGUCAAAGGUCGCACAGCCCAGACAAAAACAGGACACAGCAGUGUGUGAAUGAGCCGGGCUUUCUCCUUCCCUCCACGUAAUAGAAGGUGCCUGAGGUUGUUGAAACACAGUCCAUUUCUCCUGGGAAUGACAAGAAUUUGAGGGAUGCUGACUUUCAAGGAAUACUGCAUGACAGGCAUCAAGAUAAACCUGAUGAAGAAAACAUAGGCCAGAAUCUGGGAAUCGGGAGCAAAGUAAUACAGCUUCGGGGACAGGCACGUAAUGAGGUCAUGAUGUAGGAGACUCCCUGCAGGACUGGCGGCCCCUGUUCCCUGGGUUGUUCUGGCUCUUUCAGAACCUGACCCUGGAACAGGACUGAGCAGGUGCCUGUGUGCACAGAAGACCUUGUGUGAGUCCUUUGGUACCACGUUUGCUGCACGAAUGUCUGAGACACCUCACAGUCGCUUGGUUCAGCCUCUCCCUCCUCUCUCCGCUGGGGAACAUCAUCCCUCAUCACUGGAAGAAAUUACAAGGAUUGUGUAAACAAUUACAAGUAUUCUACAAACAGUGAGCAUGCUGGUUUGGCCCAUCUAUUUGUAAGAAAAAACAUGGGGUUUUAUGGCAAUGAGUUACAGCUCUGAACUCCUGGCACAAUCACAAAUAUCCUCAGCACAAAACACCAAGUGUAUGUCUCCCUUCU
rnacentral:lncRNA from 1 species